AACGCGAAGAACCUUACCUGGCCUUGGACAUCUACGGAAUUCUGCAGAGAUGCAGAAGUGCCUUCGGGAACCGUAAGACAGGUGCUGCAUGGCUGUCGUCAGCUCGUGUCGUGAGAUGUUGGGUUAAGUCCCGCAACGAGCGCAACCCUUGUCCUUAGUUGCCAUCAUUCAGUUGGGAACUCUAAGGAGACCGCCGGUGACAAACCGGAGGAAGGUGGGGAUGACAUCAAGUCAUCAUGGCCUUUAUGGCCAGGGCUACACACGUGCUACAAUGGCAGGUACAGAGGGAAGCCAACGCGCGAGCGGGAGCCAAUCCCAGAAAGCCUGUCGUAGUCCGGAUCGGAGUCUGCAACUCGACUCCGUGAAGUCGGAAUCGCUAGUAAUCGCAGAUCAGCAUUGCUGCGGUGAAUACGUUCCCGGGUCUUGUACACACCG
rnacentral:rRNA from 1 species